rnacentral:misc_RNA from 1 species
UGUUGACACUUUUUGCCGUCAAUGGCGUUUGAUAGACGCAACUGUGUCGAUGUGUCAGAGAAAUUUUAUACUAUAUUGCAUUUUAUAUGACGUUACGGUCAAAUAGUGAGAUGUAAUUAUAGAAGUGGCAUUUACAAAUUAAUUGUAAUAGAUAGUAGUGUCAUAGAGAACGUGAACAUUCUAAUUACGGAUGUUUAAAAUUGGAAUGUUCAAUGGCUGUGAAUAUGGAAGUAGAAAAGAAUAUAUCCAAAGAGAUUGACACUCAACUUUUGGCAAACAACUCGAUGGAAUUUAAUAAUGAUAUUCAGAUAGACAACGAAAAUAUUAAAGAUAUCGAGAAUUCAUUGUCUUCUCUUAAAAAUAUAACGAUUGAUAGCGAGAAAUGUGACGAUACUAUUAUAUACGCACAAGUUGAAAAUUCUCAAAUUUAUGCAAAAAAUUUAGAAGAUAAUUUAGUGUCUACUAAUGAAAAAGAGGAAAAAAGUGAUGAAGAUAAAGAAAAAGAAUUAUCACAAGACGAGAAAGUUUUAAAAAAUGAUUGUAAGACUGAAAAAAUAGAAGUAACAUCAGAAAAUUCUACUGAUGGUUAUGUAUCUCAAGCUCCAUUAGCUUUCACAAUUGACUUUGGUAAUAAGGAAAUUGAUACAACAAAAUAUCAAAAUUUAUUUGAAAGAUAUAAUGCUAGACAUAAAAGAAAUUUAUCUACAUCUAAGGUAGAAAUAAAUACAAAAAAACCUGGUACUUUAGUUUCUUCAAAUUUAAUGCAAAAACAAAAAGUUUCUAGUAUACAUUCUGAAGGUUAUUUUAGUAGUGAAGAUGAUACAAGACGAAAAACAGAUCAAUUAUCAGAAAAAUUAAAACAAUUAGGUUCAAAGUCACUUUUAAAACCACAUAUUUUUAAAAAAUCUGAAUCUAAUGUGAGAGUAUCAAAUUUUCAAAAUAAACAAGAUAUAAUGAGUAAAUCUUUUGAACAGUCAAAACAACUUAAACUUCCUUAUAAAAAUCUAUCUUUAGAACUUGGUCAUACAGAGAAAACAAAUGCAACAUCAUAUUGGGUACCACAAAAAUCUGCUACUAUAAAUGAUUUAAGUAGAAUUCAAGCAAAUAAUUAUGAUGACGAUGAAAAGUUAUAUACAAAAAAUAUUGAUCAAGAAGAUGAAUAUGAACAUUCAUCUGAUGUAUCUGAAAAAGUAUCUAAUAUCAGUUAUAUUAAACAUAAAAAUAUAAAUGUUAAGGAAUCUAAUUUAUCUAGCAUCAGUUAUACAAUGGAAGUAAAUCCUAAUGAUUUAGCUGAGACAGAUAUUGAUGUUUUCAAUGUUAGUAAUAUUGAUGGAGGAUCAGAUGGUGCAGUUAGUGAAGCAGGAACAUAUACAAUUCAUAAAGAUUAUACAGAUGAAGAAAAAGCUAGAAUGGAUAUAGAUAAAAUAUUUAGUGUUGGUGUUUUAACUGAAGAUGAAAGCAAUGAAGCAUGUAUUCAUAGUUUUAAGAUGAGUGUUUCAAGGGAUAAUAAUACAUGGAUAUCAGAAUGGGCUACUCAAGUAGCAGAACAUAAUUCUUUACCACCAGCAAUUGGUGGAUUAACUGGUCGUACACCUCCAUUAAGUCCUUCUAAAAUACCAUCUCCUAUUCAUAAUAGAUCGCAACGAUUGAUUCGUGGUCGCAAUGAACAAAGCGAUAGCAGUUUAGAUGCAGAAUCAUAUUUACGAAUAAAAGAAAGAAUUUCAAAUCAACAUAUACUUAUUGAUUCUGGUGGAGAAUCAGAUGACGAUACUAGUAAUAGUUAUAACACACCUCCACAAAGUUCACAAAGAACACCAAUACAUGGAGUUUUGGGUAGAAGAGGAAGUCUUUCUGAAUCUCUUUUUAGAAGAAUUAAUACCAAUGAAAAUAGAAGAAGUAUUCACAAAUAUAUAAGUUCAAAUAAAUCAAAGACUGAAGAUAUAAAUACAGAAUUAAGUAGUCCGUCCAAAGAUUUUACUUCUCUUCAUUUAGGAAGACGAAGUAGUUCCUUGGACAGGAAAGAGUAUACAUCUAAUACAGCAGAAUGUAAUACGUCCAAAAAUAAUAGUAUGAAGUAUUAUCAUGAUGAUGAAAUUAAGUAUUCAAAUAGUCCAGUUUUAAAUCGUUUAAGGCCGUCUACACCAAAAUUAACAAAUAGUCCAAUUAUAACUCGUAAAACAGUCACCAAAAUUGUUAAUUCACCAGUGUUGGAAAGAACUAAACAUUUGACAAAGUCUUCUCCACAAGCAAAAAAUAUUGGAUAUUUUACAUGUGUUGAAAAUAGUCCAUACAUGUUAAGAAAAUCUAAUAGUACUGCAAAUUAUCACGAAGAAAAUAUCAGCUUUAGUACAACAAAUAAUGUUCUUCAAAAUAGUCCAAAUGUUAAACGUAAUUUAAAUAUCCAAAGAUCAUGUAGCAAUGCAAAUAUUAGAAAUAUAAAAUUACAAAGCCAGUCAUCUCGUCGCAGUAGUUUUAAUAGUAGUGAUAUUGAUAGAACAUCUUUAGGAGGAAGAUAUCUUCCUGCUUCGGACAGUAGUAGUGAAACUGGUGAACAGCAAGCAAAAUCUUCAUUAGGUUCAGUUUCUUCUGGAAUUAAAUUGAACCGAGCUUUUAGCAUAAGAAGAGCUAGAUUAAAUUGUGAAUCUGAUACAACUCCAAAUACAACUCCUGAAGAAAGACGCAGAAGAGCACAAAGUGAAGCAAAAUUAACAUCUUCAAAUAAACAGCAAAAUCGAAAUCAUGUAACUAAUAUGAAUGUAAAUAAUAAAGAAUUUUUAAAAAAAUCAGAGCCUACAAAAUCAAGAACUACAUCUAUAUCAAGAAAUGAUAGUACCAGACUUAGUAUGAGAACACCAAAAUCAUCUCAUUUAACUUCUACUAUACAACGUCCUAUUCAGAAAGUCAUUAAAGAUCAAAAGAAAUCUGGUAGAAGUAAUUCAACAUUAACAUCAAAAGAAGUAGAAUUUCAAAAUUGGAAAAGAAGAAAAAGUUAUGAUCCAAUGAAAGCAGCUGCGGAAGGUAGAAAAAAAUUGAUAGAUAAUUCAAAAAAACAUCACAGCACAGAAGAUAGUUCAGGAAAUCAUGAUAAUUCUGUAUUGCGAUCAGCAAGUUUUCAUGGAACUGGUGCUGCUCUUUCACUAGCUAAUGAAUGGUCUGACAAUGAAAUAAAUAUUGUUCAGAAUGAUAAUCAAGUACCUCCACCAUGUAGCCCACAAUUGGAAAGUGAUAGUGAUAUAGAAACAUCAUAUUAUUUACAAACAACACAAAAUGUAAUGUCAGCUAUGUCAGCUCGUAUUACAGUUUGUCAUUCACCUUUAGUAGACUCAGAUAAUGAUAGUGAUGAAGACACUAGUCAUAGUUUACAUAAAAAUAUGUCAAAAACAUUACAUCAACCUAGUGAUACAGAGAGCAGCGAUGAUCGUCACCCUAAUGCACAGAGUGCUCUUUCAAAUACUAAAUAUAAUCGAGCAUUUAGUUUACGCAGAGCAAGAUUAGACAUACAAUCAACAAAAGUACCAGGAAGUAUAAAUAAGAAUAAAUCAAUUAUACAAGAUACUCGAAAAUCUGACUCUGUUACAAGUAUUAGUAGAACUGAUUCUGGACGUUUUAGUAUGAGAUCAAGCAGAACUGCAAAUACUGGAUCUAAAAUAAAAUCAAAAGAAACAAAAAAACCUGCAACACCAAAUACAAGAGAGGUUGAAAUGCAAAAUUGGAAACGUCGUAAAAGUUAUGAUCCUAUGAAAGCAGCAAUGGAAGGAAGAAGAAAAGCAGGUUUGGCAAAGAAAAAUACGAAUGCCAAUCUUUCUCCAAGGACUGAUAGCGAUCGAUAAUCUAAUGAUAGAGACCAUCGAUACAAGCAAGUGGUACGAAAAUGACUUGUUUGAUUUUGCGAUAUAGAUUUUUUUAAGAGUAAUGUUGCAAGAUCACGCAGUUUCCAUGGUUCAUCAGGAUUUGGAAAUAGUGAUUGGAGUGAUGAAGAAUUAGCUAUAUCUGCAGAUGAAGUUACAAUUUAUUAAAGGUCAACUUAUUAACAAUAUUAUAAAUGAAUCUAAUUAUAAAAACUUUAAUUAUAUUAAUGUAUAUAAAGACUAAGAAAAGAGAUUGAUUCUCAUA